UUUUUUCUUUUUUUUUUUUAACAGUUUAAAAGGGAAAAUUUUUUUUCGUUAGUUUAGGGCUUUUAUUUUGUUUAUUUUGUUUUGUUUUGGCUGCACCUGCUGCAUGUGAAAGCUCCUGGACCAGGGAUGGAGCCCAUGCCACAGCACUGACCUGAGGUGCUACGGUGACAACACUGGAUCCUUAACCCACUGUGCCACAAUAAAACUGCCAGGGAAAAAAUUUUCUGAUCUUUCUUGGUAGCCCACAAAAAUUAUCUGUGCUUCCUCUGCCCUGGAGUAUGCACCUUGAUAAACAUUUAUGUCAUUAAAAACAAACAAAAAAUGGAGUUCCCAUUGUGGCUCAGCAGUAAUGAACCUGACUAGUAUCCCUGAGGACUCGGUUCCAUCCCUGGCUUUUCUUUCUUUUUUUUUUUAACCAUUAAAUAUUUUAUAUAGCAUAAUAAAAAGAAUAACUUAACUGGUAAGAAUAACAAAAAUAAUACACCCUCUGAAAAUAAGAAAAUAUAAAAUGCAUAAAUUUUUUUAAAAAAUAGUGUAACUAUAUAAAUAUGUCCUCACAAUUUGUUACAUCUUAUUGAUUCUUCAAUAUAGGCAUUACACCAUUCUAGGUGAUGUGAUAAACAAGAUAUUAUAGACCUUACAUUGUACCAUGGAGAGAAAUGGUUAUUAAUAAUACAGUUGUAGAACUGUAUUAUUUAAUUGCACAGCUGCAUUCAUUAAUUAUAAUUAUCAUAAGUUCUUUGAUGUAGAAGAAAUCAGAAUCAGAUCUAAGAAGACUUCAGCAUUCCAAGAAUGAUGUCAAAUGACGCCCUUCAUGGUGGAUUAUGUACUUAUUUACUAUGAGAUAUAUUUCUUCUCCAGAGAUUCCAUGUUUGUGUAUCAAUUGUAGAUUUUUGGUUUGCAGUCAUUCUGAAGGUUUGAUAUAAGAGUCUAUCAAAUAUGAGAUUGUUUUAAGUUGUUGGUCUCUUAAUUGCAAUUUCAUCUCCAGUGUCCUGUAUUUGUACCCACCUCUUCUCAUGAUUUCUGAUUUUGGUGGUAUAAUUGUGCAUGGAUGAUUUUGUAUCUUUACUGUAUAUAUACCUUUACUGGUGAGCCUUGUCAUUUGUGGAAUUUUUGUUCCCUGUUGUGGGCUUUUAUUUUCUGCCUAGAGAAGUUCCUUUAGUAUUUGUUGUAAAGCUGGUUUAGUGUUGCUGAAUUCUCUUAGCUUUUGCUUAUCUGUGAAGGUUUUGCUUUCUCCUUCAAAUCUGAAUGAGAGACUUGCUGGGUAGAGUAAUCUUGGUUGGAGGUUUUUUCCUUUCAUCACGUUAAGUAUAUCAUGCCACUCCCUUCUGGCCUGCAGAGUUUCUGCUGAAAAAUCUGCCAAUAACCUUAUUGGGGUUCCCUUGUAUGUUACUUGUUUCUUUUCCCUAGCUGCUUUCAAAAUUUUCUCUUUGUCUUUAAUUUUGGUCAGUUUGACUAAUAUGUGUCUUGGUGUAUUCCUCCUUGGGUUUAUUUUAUAUGGUACUCGUUGUGCUUCCUGGAUUUGAGUGAGUGGUUCCUUUCCCAUGUGAGGGAAGUUUUUGGCUAUUAUCUCUUGGAAUAUUUUUUCUGUCCCCUUCUCUUUCUCUUCUCCUUCUGGCACCCCUAUAAUACGGAUGUUGGUGUGUUUAGUAUUGUCGCAGAGUUCUCUGAGACUCUCUUCAUUUGUUUUCAAUCUUUUUUCUCUUUUCUGUUCUGCAUCCAUAAUUUCCACUAAUCUGUCCUCCACCUCACUUAUUCGUUCUUCUGCCUCCUGUAUUCUGCUGUUGACUGCUUCUAGUGAAUUUUUUAUUUCAGUUAUUGUAUUUUGCAUCUCAUUUAAGUUUUAUAUCUUGUAUUUCUUUGCUCAGUGUUUCCUGUACGUUAUCCAUCUUUUCCUCCAGUUUAUUUCCAAUGUCGUGCAUCAUCUUCAGCAUCAACAGUCUGAAGUCUUUUUCCUGGAUGCUGAGAAUCUCCUCCUCACUUAGCUGAUUUUCUGAGGUUUUUCCUUUCUCCCUCAUCUGAGUUAUAGUUCUCUGUCUUUUCAUUUUUAUAGGUUUUUGGUGUGGUGACUUUUUACAGAUAAUAGAGAUGUAGCCUCUCUUACUUCUGGCGUCUGCCCCCCUUGUGCCUGAAGUCUGUGUGGGUGCUUGCUGUAGGCUUCCUGAUGGGGGGGCGGAUGCCUGCCCACUGGUAGGUGGAGCUGAUUCUAAUCCCUCUGGUGGGUGGGGCUUAGUCUCUCAAUGAGAUUAGAGGCAGCUGUGUGCCUGAGGGGGUCUUUAGGUAGCCUGUUUACUAAGGGGUGGGGCUGUGAUCCCACCUGGAUUGUUGUUUGCCCUGGGGCUUCUCAGCACUGACUGACGGGUGGGGCCAGAUUUUCUCAAAAUGGCCACCUACAGAGACAGGCAAGCUGCUGAAUAUUCCUGAGAGCUUUGCUUUCGAUGUCCAUCCCUCACAACAAGCCACAUUCACCCCUGUUUUCCCAGGAUGUCCUCCAAGAACUGCAGUCAGGUUUGACCCAGAUUCCUAUGGAGACAUCGCUUUGCCCUGGGACCCAGUACACGUGAAGUCCGAGUGCUCCUUUUAAGAACGGGGUCUCCGUUUCCCCCAGUCCUGUGGAGCUCCUGUGCACAAGCCCCACUGGCCUUCAAUGCCAGCUGCUCCAGGGGCUCUUUCUCCCAGUGCCAGGUCCCCACAUGUGAGGGUUUGAUGUGGGGCUCAGAACUCUCACUCCUGUAGGUGAGUCUCUGUGAACCAGUUAGUUUUCAGUCUGUGGAGCUUCCCACCCCAGAGGUGUGGGGUUGUUUAUAUCACAAAAUUGCCCCUCCUACCUCUUGAUGUGGCCUCCUUUUUUUCUUCUGGAGUAGGGUAUCUUUUUUAAGGUUUCCAGUCCAUUUGGGUGGAUAUUGCUCAGGCUUUAGUUGUGAAUUUUGUUGUUUUUUAGGAGAUAAGUUGGAGCUCCAGUCCUUCUAUUCCGCCAUCUUAAUCCUCUCUCCCAUAUACAUUAAUUUUAUCAUAUUAUCUUCCAUCAUGGUCUAUCCCAAGAGACUGAAUAUAGCUCCCUGUACUAUAGAGUAGGGUCUCAUUGCUUAUCCACCUAAAUGUAGCAGUUUGCAGCUACUAAUCCCAAACACCCUUCCUUCCCACUCUGUCUUCCUCCCCCUUGGCAUCCACAAGUCUCUUCUCUAAGUCCUAUUUGCAGGAUCAAACAAGACAGUGUAAGUUCUACACCCAAUCUCUUGUAUGUCAUCGGUGUCAGUUGCCUUUGCCUUCCUUCUCUUGGAGUACACUGCAAAUUCAAUUUCUACGGUGUAAUUCCAAAGCCAUGAUAAAUAUGUACACUUUCAUAUAUUUAGAAUUAAAGCCAUGGGAGGUCCUCAACCAUCACCAAAAUGUUUAUCUACACUCACUAUCUCCUAUUCCAUCUGGCCACUACUCCCAGUUGAAUGUCUCCUGCAUUUGUUGUAUCAGCAGUUCCCCAAACCUGAAACCUGCAAGACAGCCCAUACCCCUCCUUCCUCUUGUCUUUUAAAUCAUACUAGUCAUUGAAUCUUACUCACAUCACCUCUUAAUAAUAUCUGUCUGCUCACUGUGCUUUCUCCUCUCCAUCACCAUCUCCAGCACUCUAACGCACAUCUCAUUUAUUGCUGCAGGAUAGUUCACCUCUGCUCUCAACCCACUCUUUUUUGUUCUUCAGGAUACCUCUCACUGUGGGUCCAUAAAAGAAUCACCUGCACCAAGUUAUCCUAUCUCUCCAGCUGCCUGAGGCGUCUACCAUCUAUGGCCCUAUAGAGACCCACCAUCACCUCUUCUUCACCUUGAUCUUCUGUCACACCUCCUAUCUUUCUUUCAGAAUCCCCUGGGCCAUGUCUAACUAUUGCAGUUCCCAAAGGGUGCUUUGCUCUUUCUCUCCCUCUACACUUGAUCUCUCUGUUUGGGAAACUUACCCCACUUUAUAAUCUGAAAAGGUACCUUCACCAUGAAAAAUUAGCCCGACAGCCAUCAUCUCCUCUAGGAUAACUUCCCUGAUACUCUCCAAAACUGUGUUAUAUGCCCUUCAUGUGCUCCUAUAUCACUUUAUGUUUGCCCCUGCUUUCAAAGCACUUUCCAGAGUGUAAUGUGGCCAGUAGCUAACAUAUUCUGUCAAAAUUGAGAAAGUAAUGAGGUGCAAUAUUCUAUUAAGGUUGAAAGAAAGUUCUAAAGCUGCCUGGUUUAGUCUCCUGCAGACUCAUUUACAAGUAUGAGAUCUUAGGUAAGUUUAACUGACCUUUCUAUAUCAUGAAUUCAUACUUUAAUUUUCACAUUCUAUUUUUUAAUCUUGAUUUCAUAUUUAUUAGAUGUAUAUAUUGGUUUUUUGGCUGCUGUAACAAACUACCACAAACUUGGUUGUUUAAGAUAAGAGAGAUUUAUUCUCUUACAGUUCUGAAAGCCAGAGGUCUGAUAUUAAGGGGCAAGAGAGCUGUUCUCUCUCUGAAGGUUGUAGGAAAUUAUCUGUUCCUUGCCUCCUCCAGCUUCUGGUGGCACAAGGCAUUCUCAGACUCAUGGCCAUAUCAUUAUAAUCUCUGCCUCCAUGGUCACACAGCCUUUUCCUCUUCUUUAUAUAUCUCCCCUCUGUGUGUCUCUUAUAAGGAUAUUUUUCAUUGGAUUUAUGGCCCAUUUUAAUAAUCCAGAUGAUAUCUUCAUCUCAAGAUCCUUAAUUUGAUUAUAUCUGUAAAGACCUUUUUCCAAAUAAGACAAUAUUCAUAGAUUCCAGGGGUUAGGACAUAGACAUAUCUUUUGGGGGGAUACCAUUUGAUCCACUGCAAGUUUUCCUAGUUCUUAUGUUCCUUGAGAAUAUUGGAUAGGAUUAUGUAUGUAAAGCUCUCAGAACAGUGCCUGGCAGAGAAUAAAUGUUCAAUAAGUGAUAGCUAUGAUGAUGACAUUUCAUAGUGAUUAUCUCAGAGGCUGACACAUGCAUAGUCCUUAAUACCUGAUUUCUUAUUAAAAAAAAAAACUGUUUCUUAGAUCAAAAAAGUUAAUUGGGGAGUUCCUGUUGUGGUUCAGCAGGUUAAGAACCCAACUAGUAUCCAUGAGGAUACAGGUUAGAUCCUUGGGUUAAGGAUCUGGCCUUGCUGCACGCUUCAGCAUAGGUCACAGAUGUGGCUUGGAUCUGACAUUGUUGUGGCUGUAGCAUAGGCCAGUGGCUAUGGCUCCAAUUCAACCCCUUGCCUGGAAACUUCCUAAGCCAUGGGUGUGGCCCUAACAAGACAAAAAAAGAUGAAGUUAACUGGUACACUUGAAAUAUAUUGCUAACAGCAAGGGUUUAAAUAGGUUUUGCUAGUUAAUCUUCACUUUAACCCAAGAAUUAAACCAACUACCAUCACAUAUGAAUGGUGGCAGCACUUCCAGCAUUAGCUGUCUCCCAAAGGGAGUUUACACAUGCCAAAGACAUGGAAUCUUUGCUCUUAGCCAGUACCCAAAAAUGAAUGACUUUAUUUGAAAUAAAGUUGGAGAGAUUACGUGUAUAUGAUUAGAGACUUGGAAAGGCUAGGAAAGCAACCAUCAAAUAACCACCUUGCACGAUGACAAAUGUGAAGAUGGACCAAGCAAGUCAAAGAAGUGACCUUCCUCAGGUCACUCCUUGAGCUGGUGACCAAGCAGAGAUGAGGACCUAGGUCUGCAUAUUCUCCACAGUCUUAUUCUCACAGUCUUAUUCUGCCUCAUUUUAUUGACACUAUUUAGGUCAAGAAAUUAAUAUAAGUAAUAACAUCAGUGUGUUAUAUGGAUAAAGUCAAGACCUUAGCACAGUCUCAUUGUCAUAAGCUUUCAAUACUCUAUUCCAAUAUCCAUGACACGGUAUAAAUAAUAGCCAUAUAAACAUAUAUUUGAUUUUUAUUUGGUAAUAGAAACAGAGAAUACCAGUGUAUUGUAUUUAUUUCAGCCACUUCCUUUUGACACCCAAGGUCCUUUAUGACUUUUCUUGAUAAUAUAAUCACAAGUGCUAACUCCAUACCUAUUCCAUGAUUUCUCCAAGUCCAAAUGUCGUCCUAGCUCUCGUUCUUUGUAUCUUGAACACCUUCUCCUCUAUUUCUACAUCCCCAAGCCCUGACACCCUGGAAUGGCUCAGUUUAAGUGUUAUAAGAUACAAAAAGCCUUUCUUUUUGCUUCUACCUAGAAGUAACAUUUCUUGCUCUGAACUCCAAUUUUAUAUUUUUUACACCUCUCUUGCACCAUUAUGUCAUUUCCUAAUUUAUAUUGUUAUAGCUUUCCCUUAAUUUAUUAAGAUCUCGGAAACUUGCAUAAAAUGAGAGUUAAACAAAUAAUAUUUAUAUUAGAGAGUUUAUUACACAUUGGAAAUCCCCUCUUGUCCACAGGACUUUCUGAGAAAGAUUCAACA
rnacentral:lncRNA from 1 species